rnacentral:rRNA from 1 species
UGGGGAUUAGUGGCGAACGGGUGAGUAACACGUGGGCAAUCUGCCCUGCACUCUGGGACAAGCCCUGGAAACGGGGUCUAAUACCGGAUACUGACCCGCUUGGGCAUCCAAGCGGUUCGAAAGCUCCGGCGGUGCAGGAUGAGCCCGCGGCCUAUCAGCUUGUUGGUGAGGUAAUGGCUCACCAAGGCGACGACGGGUAGCCGGCCUGAGAGGGCGACCGGCCACACUGGGACUGAGACACGGCCCAGACUCCUACGGGAGGCAGCAGUGGGGAAUAUUGCACAAUGGGCGAAAGCCUGAUGCAGCGACGCCGCGUGAGGGAUGACGGCCUUCGGGUUGUAAACCUCUUUCAGCAGGGAAGAAGCGAAAGUGACGGUACCUGCAGAAGAAGCGCCGGCUAACUACGUGCCAGCAGCCGCGGUAAUACGUAGGGCGCGAGCGUUGUCCGGAAUUAUUGGGCGUAAAGAGCUCGUAGGCGGCUUGUCACGUCGGUUGUGAAAGCCCGGGGCUUAACCCCGGGUCUGCAGUCGAUACGGGCAGGCUAGAGUUCGGUAGGGGAGAUCGGAAUUCCUGGUGUAGCGGUGAAAUGCGCAGAUAUCAGGAGGAACACCGGUGGCGAA